UUUCCGUAGGUGAACCUGCGGACGGAUCAUUAAUGAAAUGAAUGUCGAAAAGGGUUGUAGCUGGCCUCUUGAGGCAUGUGCACACCUUGGUCGCACAUCCACAUCUCACACCUGUGCACAACCUGUAGCUUGGGAUGAUUACAAUGCUGGGAACAGAGUCGAAAGCCCUUGCUAUGAAAUUUUACACACACAUAUUAAAAGUUAUAGAAUGUUAUAUAGCGUGUAACAGCGCAAAUAAAUAUACAACUUUCAGCAACGGAUCUCUUGGCUCUC
rnacentral:misc_RNA from 1 species